rnacentral:rRNA from 1 species
AUUGAACGCUGGCGGCAUGCCUUACACAUGCAAGUCGAACGGUAACAGGUCUUCGGAUGCUGACGAGUGGCGAACGGGUGAGUAAUACAUCGGAACGUGCCUAGUAGUGGGGGAUAACUACUCGAAAGAGUGGCUAAUACCGCAUGAGAUCUACGGAUGAAAGCAGGGGAUCGCAAGACCUUGUGCUACUAGAGCGGCCGAUGGCAGAUUAGGUAGUUGGUGGGAUAAAAGCUUACCAAGCCGACGAUCUGUAGCUGGUCUGAGAGGACGAUACGCCACACGGGGACGGAGACACGGCCCAGACUGCUACGGGAGGCAGCAGUGGGGAAUUUUGGACAAUGGGCGCAAGCCUGAUCCAGCAAUGCCGCGUGCAGGAUGUAGGCCUUCGGGUUGUAAACUGCUUUUGUACGGAACGAAAAGCCCUGGGUUAAUACCCUGGGGUCAUGACGGUACCGUAAGAAUAAGCACCGGCUAACUACGUGCCAGCCGCCGCCGUAACAC